AUGUUAAAAUGUGGGGCUAGCAACACAAACCAUGUAGUAAUAGCUUCUAAAUGCGAUAGAUUCCGUUCGUUCUCUCCGUAACCCUGACGUUGAUCACUAAUUUACAAAGAAACGAAUUCUGUAAUUCAAGGAGUGGCUCAGACGUUAAAGAAUGUGCCUGCUAUGUAGGAGACCCGGGUUCGAUCCCUGGAUCGGAAAGAUCCCCCGGAGAAGGAAAUGGCAACCCACUCCAAUAUUCUUGCCUGGAAAACCCCAUGGACAGAGGAGUCUGGCGGGUUCCAGUCCAUAGGGUCACGAGGAGUCGGACACGACUGAGCGACUAACACUGUAACUCAACAUCGUUACACGAGAGAGAUCAACAUUUGCGUCCGAGAGCCAGUCACUGACCAGCAAUUUCUCUGUGCUAAGUCCUGGACACAGAAUCAGACUGGGUACGCUCUGAGAGGCUCACGUCGGAUGGGAGAAGUCAGAGCCGGAAACAAAGAAGUGUUCCGCAAACGGCUAACGGAUCUUCAUUGUGGCAUGCAAGUUUCUCUAGUUGCAGAUGUGGGAUCUUAGUUCCCUGACCAGGGAUUAAACCCAUGUCCUCUGCAUUGGAAGGUAGAUUGUUAACCACUGGACCACCAAUGGACUCCUGUACCAGAUGAGCCCUAAAGAUACUUCUACUUCUGAUUUAUGAAGACUCAGCUACUUGUCUCUCAAGGCCUACAUACUACUGCCCCAAAGGGCAGUGAGCAGAGGCUUCUGAGAUCAUUUCAGGAGAAUGAAACAAACAAGAUAAUACAUCAACUACAAACUCAAGAUUCUUGGGAAGUAGGGCUUGACAUGAACAGAGCUGAAGAGCCCAGGAUGACUAUUAAACAUAACUAAUGGCUUUCCUGCGUCAGAAUUUCCUGCCUCAAAUCCCAAGUGAAAGAAGAUCAAGAAAACAGGCUAGCUUUUCAACUGCUAAAUUCUCUCAGUAACUCUCUCAGGUAAAAUUAUUCCAGGAGCUUUGGUCUGCCGCCCGUUUCCUUCCCUUUGAAGUACUGGUUUUCCAUUAACAAGGGAGCCUUGCAAAAUCAAACACUCUGUGAUCAGACAUUUCAUAGUCUACAAUGGGGGCCGGGUUACUCUUAGAUCAAAGUUGGAUUUCUUUCUUUUCUAAAAAAAUUGUCUUCUUGGGUCUUAAUUGUGGCAUGUAGGAUCUUCAUUUGGGUGCAUGGAUUCUAGUUUAGGGGGCAUCUGGGCUCCAUAAGUUGUGGCACAUGGGAUCUUAGUUCCCAUCAGGGAUGGAACCUAUGUCCCCUGCAUUACAAGGCAGAUUCUUCACCUUACACAAAGAAUAAAGAACAGAAAAUAACAAACCAAAAACGAGAGAGGAAAGAGAUUUAUUUAUUUAGAACGAAGGAGCACAAUGAAAAUUGUAGGAGAAAUCUUGCAAUUAUAAUUUGCAAUUUGUAAUUUUAAAAAGCUAACAACACAAUCAUCAUGAAAUCCAGAAAUGAAGCCAUAUUUUUCUUAAACACCUCUAUUUUUUCUUUUUAAAGGUUUAAUGGACUUUGAUCACUUUAUAUAACAAUUUUGUAUCAUUUCCCACAAUUUUAAUGGAACGACAAUUUAGUUUUUCCUUCAGCAUGUCAAACCAAAAAUUUUUUCUUGUAAUUUAGAAAAGUUCCUUCUUACUUUGCAAUUCUUUUUUAGUAACGUCAUGAACAUUUUGAGAGUUGUCAAAGUUGAGGGCAACCUGUAUCAAAUUUUUGUCAUAUACUAACUGUAAGAUUUUGGGAAAUUUGAAGCUUUCUAGUUGCCCUGAUUACCCUUAAAUACUUACUUCAUUGAGGACCCGCCGUGGAGGUGUACAUUACACACGGAGGGUCAACAGUAACUAUUCACACAAGAGUAUCACAUAAACCUAUCCUACUAAGCUCAAACGUUCCCAAUAGGAUUUCCUCUAGCAGAAUCCCAAACGCCACUAGACAUAAGAGGAAGUGUGAUGGGAGGAGAAAUCGGAAUAGAAAGAGGUUCUAACCGACUGCAAUAAAAACGUGACUCUUAAAAAAUUUUCAAAACCAUAUGACUAUGUGAGCACGGUGCUGGGUCCUCUCCUUAAGCCAACGAAGGGUCCCGGGGACUCGACGGGCCCUUAAGCUUAAGCUUAGUUCCAUGCUGGUAUCACCUUUUGGUAACCGACGACGCAAAGCAAGAACGCGGCAUAAGGAAUUGGGGCGAGGCACUGCUGUUGUAAUGGCUAAAUUAAGGCCCUUCACCCACACACCAGUUUGUGUUGGUUUGUUUUAUAACCCUGUCCCUAACUCUAGGGUUUCAUCAGGACUCGAACUCAU